AACGAACGCUGGCGGCAUGCCUAACACAUGCAAGUCGAACGGCAGCACGGGAGCAAUCCUGGUGGCGAGUGGCGAACGGGUGAGUAAUAUAUCGGAACGUGCCCAGUCGUGGGGGAUAACGUAGCGAAAGCUACGCUAAUACCGCAUACUAUCUAUGGAUGAAAGCGGGGGAUCGCAAGACCUCGCGCGAUUGGAGCGGCCGAUAUCAGAUUAGGUAGUUGGUGAGGUAAAGGACUCACCAAGCCGACGAUCUGUAGCUGGUCUGAGAGGACGACCAGCACACUGGGACUGAGACACGGCCCAGACUCCUAC
rnacentral:rRNA from 1 species